AGGCGGGUCUCCCCUGUUGGGCGGGGGCGGGGACUGGACAGGUGGUCACGCCCCAGGAGAUGGGCGGGGCUGCAGUCCAGACUAAUUCCCGCGGCGAGGGAGAGGCUAGCAAAAAAGCCCAGCGGAGAAAGAUGGGCUAGACAGAUGGGAAAUGGGCGGAGGAAAAGAGAUGACAAAAAAAAUCUGGAAGAAAACCAAAGGUGGUCCUACAGGUUUAUUUAGGAGGCAUCUUUUCCAAGCUCUGUAACCCUGGGCAGGACAUGGCUCGCUCUACUUACCAGAAAAAUACUGGCAUCUUUCACCUACAAUUGUGAUCACGAUAAAACCAGUUUAAUAUAAUAAUGUUAAAGCUGCUUGAAGAUAAGGAUCUUGUUUGUCUUGUUCAUCACUAUUUCCCCAGCACCUAAAACUGUGCAGAGAACUGAGGACAGCUUCACCAAAACUCAGCUCUUGAAUUUUCCUGCCUUAAACCCAGAGACGGGUUCUUGCUAUGUUGCCCAGAUUGGAGUGCAAUUGCCAUUCACAGGUGCAAUCAUAGUACACUGCAGCCUCAAACUUCUGGCCUCAAGAUGUCCUCCCAUCUCAGCCUACCAAGUACCUGGAAUUACAGUUGUGUGUCACUGCACCUGGCUUUCACAAUUUUUUUUUUUUUGAAACGAGUCCCAAUCUGUCACCAAGGCUGGAGUGCAAUGGCACCAUCUCGGCUCACUGAAACCUCCACCUCCAGGGUUCAAGAGAUUCUCCUACCUCCCAAGUAGCUAAUUCCUCCCAAGUAGGAAUUAUAGGCACCCACUACCACACUUGGCUAAUUUUUUUGUAUUUUUAGUAGAGAUGGGGUUUUGUCAUGUUGGGCAGGCUGGUAUUGAACUUCUGACCUCAGGUGAUCCACCCAUCUUGGCCUCCCAAAGUGGUGGGAUUACAGGCAUGAGCCACUGUGCCCGGCCUGGAUUUCACUUUUAUAUAUAGUAUAAAACCUGAGAUUUCAUUAACUCAGAAUAUACCCUCAACUCAAAUUAUUAGACACUUUGAAGCCAGCUAAUACUUAUUCAACAAAUACUGAGUACCUUCUCUGUGGCAGACACAAGGCUUGGCCCUGAGGACAUGACUGGUGAACUAAACAUAAUACUUGAAUGUCUAGGAAUUUAUCACCUGCUGCAAGGAACAAGCCCAAGGCAAUGUGCUAAGGUUUAUUUUAGGCAACUUGGGAACUUACAGGAGGAACCUUACUCAGUUUGAGAAAGUCAAAAAGGCUUCCUGGAGGAGGGGGCACUCAGCUGAGACCUGAAAGAUGAUUCUAAGUAUACAGGUAAAAGGGGAACAGGAGUAGGAAGAGCAUCCCCUGUGGUGGGACCAGUGGGGGUACAGGCAUGGGAGCUAGAGGGGUGAGAUGGUCACAGAGCCACUGCAGGAGAAUCACUUGAAUCCAGGAGGCGAAGGUUGCAGUGAGCCAAGAUCACGCCAUUGCACUCUAGCCUGGGCAACAAAAGCAAAACUCUGUCUCAAAAAAAAAAAAAUCAAACAAAGUGUUUUCCUUGAGUUGACUCAAUAGUGGGUGUUUGUGGGACAAGAUAAGAUGCAAUUGAAGAGGCUUCAAUGCCCCACACAGUUCCUUGAACUGCCAUGGAGAGCCAUUGCAAAAUGUCAAUCUGGGGCUAGUCAGUAACCAUUCAGUUUUGUUCCAAAUUCCCCAAAUAUGCCUGACCAUAAAUUGAGAUAUUGACAAAUAUAUAUAAACUGGGCUGUUUUCAUGCCCUGCUGGCACUGCUGAUUUUCUGUUACGAAGGAAAGGAUUGUCAAAGGCAAGGAGUAUUGGGCCUGCUGAUCUCAUUUGCAAUCAACAAGGAGCAAGGUUUCAGCCUGGGGAAGUGGCCAAGGGCCCUGUUAGGAGGAGGGCACAGUAGGUGGCUGGGCAGGGGCCAGAGGGUUGGGAAAAUGAGGCACUCAUCCAAACAGUGUCAGGGAUUUUCAGUGGGCAUUUGUAGAGGAUGCCGAGCCCAGGGGAGCAGAGACGUAUUGUGACAUAUGUCUAUCUAUAGUCAGUAGGGAAGCGGCAAGGUCACUAGAGACAGAGAGACAGCCCAUUCUCCAGCUUCCUCUUACUAUCUCUGUGAAGGCUGAUUUGUGCCUUGCCACUGGCAAGCCACCCCAAUCAAACACUCGAUGUCCAAGUGGCAUUGAGAACACAUCAGUAGCCUAAUACAUUGGUCAGAACCACAGGAGCUCAACUGGAGGCAUAGCCGCUUUCUCUGUUUGGCUGGUGACAUCUUGAUAAAGUUCUCAAGGCCUGCAGUCAGCCCUUGACAGCUUCUCUGGGCAACAGUUCAUCUUGGAACGCUUCUAACACCCUUCCGCCCCGCCCCCCCAGACACAGCAGCUGGCAGGCUGCUGCUGCCUGCCAGGAAAGGCCUGGACCUCACUGGGAUUCCAGAGUCUUGACUUUCAGUCCCUUCAUGCAGCAUCCUCUGACCACAGCUCCUGAUCAGUAGGUGGGAGGCCAAUUUAAAAACACAAAAUGUAGUUCUUUCUCACAUGUCUAAAAAGUAUGAAGACAUAUCCAAAUAUCAGACUAGCUAAAAUCUUUGACUUACCCUAGAUUCUCCUAAAAGUAGAGUCUGAGGCCGGGUGCGGCGGCUCACGCCUGUAAUCCCAACACUUUGGGAGGCUAAGGUGGGCAGAUCACCUGAGGUCAGGAGUUCAAGACCAGUCUGGCCAACAUGGUGAAACCCCAUCCCUACUAAAAAUACAAAAAUUGGCCAGGGGUGGUGGCACAUGCCUGUAGUCCCAGCUACUCAGGAGGCUGAGGCAGGAGAAUUUCUUGAACCCAUGAGGCGGAGGUUGCAGUGAGCUGAGAUUGCACCGCUGCAUUCCAGCCUGGGCAACAGAGCGAAUCCAUCUUUUUUAAAAAAUUACUCAGUCUUACUAUUCUGUUAUAGCAGCACAAAAUGGACUAAGACAUGAGCUCAACAUCCCUUCCUCCAUUUCUGGGAACAGCAUCUCUAUUUUGGGAUUGGGAAACCACCAUCUCACUUCCAGUCCCUAUGAUUGCAUGAGGCUAACCUCUCUUUGUUGCCAAGACACCAACUCCAAGAGUUGGUCAAGUCCCAGGUCCAGCCAGUCAACACAGUCUGUUCCUCCCUACCAGCUACAAUAAUUAGUUCAGGACUGAUCCCUAAAUCCUAGGUGCUUAGAUCUUCAUUUGAGUAUUCACACAGCCAUGUAUUUUGGGAAUGCAAUUCCAUCCCAUGGGUAGGACCUGAGAGGCUUAAACUAACCUACAGUUUAAGUACAUCCGUUCCAUUGAAUGAAGACACUAAUUUUGGAGUGAGUAUCUAACCAAAGUGGCCCAGCCAGCCUGACUCUCAAGACUGGCUUGGAAUGCUGGAACACACGUGUUCUUUCUGCUGCUGAAAGGAAGAAGGAAGCCCAUGGUGCCAACUGCUGCUGGAGGGCAUCCUAAGACUCCAAGGUGAACACGUCUCAGUAGAACACUUCACUAUAUGUGGCAGAGAAAAAAGACAAAACCGAUCCCUGAGG